rnacentral:rRNA from 1 species
UUUGAACGCACCUUGCGCUCCUCGGUGUUCCGAGGAGCAUGCCUGUUUGAGUGUCAGUA